rnacentral:rRNA from 1 species
UACAGGGGGUGCAAACGUUGCUCGGAAUCAUGCGGAGAAGCACGUAGGCGGUUCGUUAUGUCGGAUGUGAAAGCCCUUGGCUUAACCGAGGAAGUGCAUCCGAAACUGGCGAGCUAGAGUACUAAAGAGGAUCGCGGAAUUCCCGGUGUAGAGGUGAAAUUCGUAGAUAUCAGGAGGAAUACCGAUGGCGAAGGCAGGUCUCUGGGCUAGAACUGACGCUCAUGCACGAAAGCGUGGGGAGCAAACAGG